rnacentral:rRNA from 1 species
UACGUAGGGUGCAAGCGUUAAUCGGAAUUACUGGGCGUAAAGCGUGCGCAGGCGGUUAUGCAAGACAGAUGUGAAAUCUCCACGCUCAACGUGGAGAGGCCAUUCGAUACUGUCGUGACUCGAGUCCGGUAGGGGAGUGUGGAAUUCCCGGUGUAGCGGUGAAAUGCGCAGAGAUCGGGAGGAACACCCGUAGCGAAGGCGGCACUCUGGGCCGGUACUGACGCUGAGGUGCGAAAGCGUGGGGAGCAAACAGG